UACACAUGCAAGUCGAACGAGAAUCUGUGGAAAGAGGAUUCGUCCAAUUGAAGCAGAGGACAGUGGCGGACGGGUGAGUAACGCGUGAGGAACCUGCCUUUCAGAGGGGGACAACAGUUGGAAACGGCUGCUAAUACCGCAUGACACAUCGGAGUCGCAUGGCUCUGAUGUCAAAGAUUUAUCGCUGAAAGAUGGCCUCGCGUCUGAUUAGCUAGUUGGUGAGGUAACGGCCCACCAAGGCGACGAUCAGUAGCCGGACUGAGAGGUUGAACGGCCACAUUGGGACUGAGAUACGGCCCAGACUCCUACGGGAGGCAGCAGUGGGGAAUAUUGGGCAAUGGGCGCAAGCCUGACCCAGCAACGCCGCGUGAAGGAAGAAGGCUUUCGGGUUGUAAACUUCUUUUGUCAGGGACGAGUAGAAGACGGUACCUGACGAAUAAGCCACGGCUAACUACGUGCCAGCAGCCGCGGUAAUACGUAGGUGGCAAGCGUUGUCCGGAUUUACUGGGUGUAAAGGGCGUGUAGCCGGGAGGGCAAGUCAGAUGUGAAAUCCACGGGCUCAACUCGUGAACUGCAUUUGAAACUACUCUUCUUGAGUAUCGGAGAGGCAAUCGGAAUUCCUAGUGUAGCGGUGAAAUGCGUAGAUAUUAGGAGGAACACCAGUGGCGAAGGCGGAUUGCUGGACGACAACUGACGGUGAGGCGCGAAAGCGUGGG
rnacentral:rRNA from 1 species